CUCCUGCCUCAGCCUCCCGAGUAGCUGGGAUUACAGGGACAGUUUUGAUACCAUGAUAGCUACUUAAGAGUUCUAAUGAGUUCUCCAAAAUCAUCCCUGGUGAUCAUCUCCACAUAUGAAGUACCACGUGUGAAAGAGAUGAACCAUGCAAUCUCCUGCCUGGAGUAUUGAAGCCUGGCUACUGUGACUGUGGGGAAGGGAUUAAUGAUCUCAGCAUUCAGUCACAUUUCAAAGGCCAGAUCUUUCCCAGGGCUUAAGCUGUUCCUUGGAUACUUUUGGUAAAUCCAAAUGUGAGCGGCAUUCUAGAAUCCAUGGAGGCCCUCAAAGGAAGACAAGCUUUCAUCCUUGCCAGCUGAUUAAAAGUGCAGAAUAUUGAUUCAACUGCUAUCCCUGGGCUGAAAGACAGAAUUGAGAUUUCAUCUAUUUGCCUUUGUAUAGAAAUCUUUUCUAUCCAAUGGAAUAUGGAGGAGUGACCUACAUGGGCAGGCACUGGUUGAGAAUGGUUCCCAUGCAUUAACUCCCAGGCACUUGCAGCCUGCCCUGCACAGAGGCCUAGGAGACACCAACUGCCAGAGAAUACCUCCACCUCCAACAGACACGGAAACCUGGUGGUAGAUACCAGAACCAUCUGCAGUGACCUCCACAGCCUCCACUGCAGUACUGAAAGCAACUGGAAACAAAAUUAAAUUCCAAACCAGUUUCAAAAGCUGAUCAAUAAAAUUUGCAAGAGUUUCAAAUAUGUAGCCAAAAUACCAUGAUUUGAAAUGAGGCAAAAAAAUGAAAGUCCAAAUAUUAAUCAGGAUCAGUAUGAAUGACACCAUCAUAAUUUUUCCGGCAACAUGCCUCAGAAAGAAGGUGGCCUCAGAAGGUGAUGUGAUAAGGGCAUAUGCACAUCUGAGGUCCUCACACCACCCAGGAAGGAACUGGUAUGUUGAAAAGGAAUCCACACUAAAGAGAAAGUCAAAAAAGCUGCCCCUUACUAAAUGCAUAUGUAAGAAAGCCAGAAGCCUCCACUCUGCUCCCUUGGGAUCAGCUCUGACGUUUGGAUGUUUGAUGGUUGCCCAAAACGUCGAGGAGAAACACAGCAUCUCAUGGGUUGGGAAGACAUGAAGACCAAGGCAUUGUGGGGUGUUGCCUCAAACCAGAGGAUGUGAUGACAGCAAAGCAUCUCAAGGAAUAAUGAAAGAGUCCAGCAGCCAUGUCCGACCUACCAGGGGCGUUUAAUGGUCCUGGAGGGGACAUCUGAGAGGCUAAGCAGUAAUUCAGUCAACCUGGUGAAGCUAAAGGAGCAGACAGUGGCCAGUGACAUUGGAAGCCACCAAGAGGAAUACACAUUUCUGCACUCUGUUGGGCCCCUGUGGAAGAACUCUGAACCCUUCUCCAGAACAAGGGCUCUUGGCCAAUUCCUGGUAUUUUUAGAAAAUCAGCCUGUAAAGACUUUGCCCCCGUGGCUACCAGAGCACUGUAGUGGUGAUCAUUUUAAAAGCCAUAGAGGAGUUUGCAUGGUAGUGCACUAAGAUGACCUACAUGAUUCACCGCUGCAAAAUUUUGAAAUGUGUCAUUGGGUUUUCAUUCCAAGCAGCAAUGGAAAAUCACUGGUAAGCGUUCUCUUGUUCGUCAUGGCAACAUCCUUUGAUGGAUACACCUGUAGAAAGGUGUUAAAGGGGGGGAAUAAGGACAAAGGCCACGUGUGUUUUAUCAUUUAUCAAAAUUAAGGUUCUGCCACAUUUUUACUAGAAAAAAAAAGUACCGUGCCUACAUAUCCAUUUCAAACCCAUCAAUUACUGAGUCCUGUCAGAACCGUUGUCUCCUCAAUAGCUCUCAUGUCGGUCCCUACUUCUCCAUCCAAUACCACCAGCCUGUUAUGUCUCCCAUGGAUUACUGCAAUGGCCUCCUGGCUGGUACCCCAGGCUCCAGUCUUCUUAACCCUCUUCAGGUAUUUCUCACACCAUCACCAUCUUACUCUUUAUUAAGUAGAAACUUAAUUGUGUCACCUGUUUGAUUUAAACUGGUCAGUGGUUCCCAGAUGCCUACAAGAUUAAGUCCAAGCUCAGUAUCAUGACCCUUUAAGAUCUUUCUCUGGCCUUUGCCAAACUCUCUUGCUUAUCAUUAACCCCUCCUCAGCUACUCUCCAAGCUCUAGCUCCAGCAAGCUCUGUCCACUCCCUCCCAGUGGGUUCUCUUUCUUUCCCUACCACACCUUUUUGCUUUUGAGCAGCCUGGCCUCUCUCCCUGGAACUGUCUGCCAUCCACUUCCUUCCCUGGCUGUCUCUAAUGGAUGCUACACAACUCAGGUCCAGCUUCAUCUCUUCCAGGAAAGCUUCCCAGCCAGGACCCCACACCAAGUUUAGUCUCUUACCUAUGUUCCUACAACAAGUACAGCAUCACCUACCAUUGCCAGCAGAAAAGGGCUCCAAAAAUGAGGGGAGAAAACCUUUUUAAAAGAAUUUGAUAUUCAGUAUUUCCCUAGAAAAGCAUCGAAGUGAUUGUUGUGGGGAAAAAAGUGAGGAUUUGCUUGGACUUUCUUGUAUUUAACGUUAAUUUUUUAAAAACUUUUUGAUGCAAUACACAUACAUAUACAAAAGUACACAAAUCAUUAAUGUAGAAAGCAUCCAGCUCAAGAAACCCAA